rnacentral:lncRNA from 1 species
UUUUUGGAAUUUUGUAAGAUUUAUUGAGAAUAGAACAGGCUUUCAAUUUUCUUUUAAAACCCCUGAUUAAAAUUGAGAUUUUCAAAACAAAAAGAAUAUAAAACAUUGAGGACUAAAAGGAACAUUUUGGUCUGGGCAGGAAGAAGAGCACUGCGGCCUCCUAGGCUGCAUUUUGGGGGAAUGUUGGUGGGGGGCUGUGGUCAGGUGAUGGGGCUCCCUAUCUCCUGCCGAGCCCAGUGGGUGGCCUGACUCUGGUGAGCACCACACACCCCAGAGUCCCAUCUUCCAGGAAAAGCUGGGGUCUUACAGCAGAGAGGCUCUGGGAGCACAUCUCCCCUUCUGGUCCCCAAAGGCCCCCAGCUGCCUGGCCCCUGGCCCACUAACCCAGGCAUGCUCCUUCCAGCACU